UCUUUUAUUGGACUUAAAAAAGUUCUUCAUUAAACUGUGCUUCUCUCCUCUCCCCACAAGCCUGAUCAUCAGGUCCUGAAAUACACAACACCAAGAGACAGUCAAGCUACAAAAAAAAGCAAGACCACUCCUUUCCAAGAGAGGCACAUGUGGCAAGUCCAUGAGCAGGAAUGAGAUUACCCUCUGCCUGCUUCAAAUCAGCUGUAAAAAUCUCCUGAUUUAAGGGAGAGCCACUGUGGCCUAUGAAUUACAGGAAAAGGCAGAGCUAGCGUGGUUAAAAGGCAAUAAAAAGGGAAAAGGUUGGGGCUGGGGCUGAGGAGCUGUCAGUUGGCUUCUUCCCACAAAGAAAAGAAGUUAGUCAUCAGAACUGAGAAUUCCGUGCGACUGCAGCACACAUGGAAAUGAUGAAGCAGAGCAGCACGUUCCCCUGAUGGGUCUCCUCAGCCCAGAGCUCUCCUGGGCAUGUUCCCACCUUCCAGAGCAGUUGUGGUUCUGGAGCUCACCACGUGCAGGGGUGGUCAGAGAAUGCUUGGGCAGGGGCAGGAGAAGGAAGGGCAGCUUUCCUGGUGCCAGGAUUUGACCUGCAGAAGAGGCACAGUCAGAUUUCAUAUGAGAUCACACAGCAGCUCUAAGGCUGAGAUGUCCAGCUGUGAAGAGGGGGUGCCACCUGAGAAUGUUGCAAUGCUCACACAAUUCCCACAGCACAUCCACAUGCCUGCCUUUGUGUCAUUUAUUGUGCCAAACUCACGUUCCAAAGUGCUAGGCAGGCACAUGCCUCUUUUACUGCUUCUGCCCCCUCUCCUUCUCGUGCAUAGAGCAGUUGCUGGAAAAAAAAAGGGGGAAAAGCAGAUUUAGAGAAAACUUGAAGAGCAUGGCUUAGUUCUUCCAGUGGAAUUAUAAUACUGUUACCUGCCUAGAGUGUAUUUUUAAUCUGGAUGGCAGCAAAAGGUCAUACUGCAUAAUCACAUUUAAGUGCCAUUCCCUAUUAAUACAGCUCUUGAUCUCAAUAGCUAUCACUAUAUAUCAUGGUUACUAUAUAUUCAAAGAUGUGAUAUUUUUCUUUUGUAACACCAGUCUACAAGCAUGAAAGCAUUUUUUAUGCAGCAUGUUUUCAAUUCGUUGUGGGAUGGCUGGAGAAGUAUUCCAAGGGUUUCUCCAAAAUCUGCAGAGGAUGCACAUGGUGUGUGCUCAUCUCCACGCUCCCAUCCCACUCCCUCCAGCGAGAUUAGCACCCAGACCAGCCGGUGAGGGCCCACUUGACAGGCCCACAUGGUUUAGAUUCAUAAUCAGAUUAACAAAACUGUAAUCCUAUUUUUAAACAAUGAAAAAGCCAAGUCCUUGAGCUGCCAGUGUGUGUGUGUGUGCAUACAGAAUAAAUGUCAUCCUUGUGGAAGAAAAAAACCUGAAUACCAAAUGAAAAAGUUUCUUCCACACAGAAGACUUUGUCCAUUAGAGGAAAGGACUAUUUUGCAUUAUUACCACUGCUUUUUCCCACUGAUUUGAUCUCCAGCAAGCCCACUUCCAAUACUUGCAGGAUUUACCUUCUAUAAAGACACAUUCUUUACCACAUUUAAAAAUAAUAGUUAUAGAAGUGAACUACUCCCCAAAUGAUCCAGAAACUUUAAUUAUGAAUGUUCCAGUACUCAAACUUAUACUUUAAAAACUGCCCAGGCACUGGAAAAUGAGCAUACUUCAUAUAUUCAAUAUAACAGACUCAUGGUGGAAAAAAUCUCACUGGGCAACCAGUAGCAUUUGUCUCUGUCACAGUAUUUCCAGCACCACUGCAUUUUCCCAAAUGAUGUGGAAAGUUCUUUCUCAGCUCCAGCACCCACCUUUUUUUGGGGGGGGAUUUUUGGUGUUUUGUUUUGGUUUUUUUGUUUGUUGUUUGUUUGUUUUGUGGGGUUUUUUUUGGUGGUUUUUUUGUUUGGUUUUUGUGGACUUUUUUUUGGUUGGUUGGUUGGUGUUUUUGUUCUGUUUUGGGGUUUUUUGGUUUUGUUUUGGGGUUUUUUGGGGAUUUUUGUGUGUGUGUUUUUGAUUGUUUGUCUG
ensembl:lncRNA